AGUGAACGCUGGCGGUAGGCCUAACACAUGCAAGUCGAACGGCAGCACAGUAAGAGCUUGCUCUUACGGGUGGCGAGUGGCGGACGGGUGAGGAAUACAUCGGAAUCUACUUUUUCGUGGGGGAUAACGUAGGGAAACUUACGCUAAUACCGCAUACGACCUACGGGUGAAAGCAGGGGAUCUUCGGACCUUGCGCGAUUGAAUGAGCCGAUGUCGGAUUAGCUAGUUGGCGGGGUAAAGGCCCACCAAGGCGACGAUCCGUAGCUGGUCUGAGAGGAUGAUAAGCCACACUGGAACUGAGACACGGUCCAGACUCCUACGGGAGGCAGCAGUGGGGAAUAUUGGACAAAGGGCGCAAGCAUGAUCCAGCCAUACCGCGUGGGUGAAGAAGGCCUUCGGGUUGUAAAGCCCUUUUGUUGGGAAAGAAAAGCAGCAGGUUAAUACCCCGCUGUUCUGACGGUACCCAAAGAAUAAGCACCGGCUAACUUCGUG
rnacentral:rRNA from 1 species